rnacentral:lncRNA from 1 species
AGUUGACCAGGCCUUUGUGAGGUUACCAGGCCUGAGCACACCAGGUCUCUUUGAAUUGACCAGUCCUCUGAAAGGUGGAGGUGUACCUUCUUUCCCAGCUGCCAUUCUGUUCCAUGGACGAUGCUGGCAAGUCCCAAACCCUCUCCAGCUAUCAAGAUGAACACCUUGCAGAAGAAAGAAGUCUGCCACCGAGAAAGACGACUGGACGGGGCAGCUGGGAAGGGUUCUUACCACCAAGCCUGAAGGCCCAAGUUUGAUCCCUAAAGCUCACACAGCAAAAGGAGUGGAACGGCUCCUGAAAGCAACCCUCUGACCUCCACCUUAUGUCUCCUUCACAAAGAAACAAAUCAAGAUAAAUAAAUAAAUGUAUGCAGUUUUAAAAAAAAG